rnacentral:misc_RNA from 1 species
AACGCACCUUGCGCCCUUUGGCCAUUCCGAAGGGCAUGCCUGUUUGAGUAUCAUGAACACCUCAACUCUUCAUGGUUUUCCAUGAUGAGCUUGGACUUUGGGGGUCUUGCUGGCCUGCGGUCAGCUCCUCUCAAAUGAAUCAGCUUGCCAGUGUUUGGUGGGUUUCACAGGUGUGAUAACUAUCUACACUUGUGGUUUUCCACCAGGUAACCUUCAGCAGUGGAGGUUCGCUGGAGCUCACAGAUGUGUCUCUCCUCAGUGAGGACAGCCCUUUGAAUGUUUGAUCUCAAAUCAGGUAGGACUACCCGCUGAACUUAA